AGUGAACGCUGGCGGUAGGCCUAACACAUGCAAGUCGAACGGCAGCACAGUAAGAGCUUGCUCUUACGGGUGGCGAGUGGCGGACGGGUGAGGAAUACAUCGGAAUCUACUUUUUCGUGGGGGAUAACGUAGGGAAACUUACGCUAAUACCGCAUACGACCUACGGGUGAAAGCAGGGGAUCUUCGGACCUUGCGCGAUUGAAUGAGCCGAUGUCGGAUUAGCUAGUUGGCGGGGUAAAGGCCCACCAAGGCGACGAUCCGUAGCUGGUCUGAGAGGAUGAUCAGCCACACUGGAACUGAGACACGGUCCAGACUCCUACGGGAGGCAGCAGUGGGGAAUAUUGGACAAUGGGUGCAAGCCUGAUCCAGCCAUACCGCGUGGGUGAAGAAGGCCUUCGGGUUGUAAAGCCCUUUUGUUGGGAAAGAAAAGCAGCAGGUUAAUACCCCGCUGUUCUGACGGUACCCAACGAAUAAGCACCGGCUAACUUCGUG
rnacentral:rRNA from 1 species